AACGAACGCUGGCGGCAGGCCUAACACAUGCAAGUCGAACGCUCCGCAAGGGGAGUGGCGCACGGGUGAGUAACACGUGGAACCGUACCUUCUGGUACGGAACAACCAAGGGAAACUUUGGCUAAGACCGUAUACGACCUCCGGGUGAAAGAUUGAUCGCCGGAAGAGGGCCGCGUCCGAUUAGGUAGUUGGUGAGGUAACGGCUCACCAAGCCUUCG
rnacentral:rRNA from 1 species